GCCGGCCUGUCGGAAUGGCAGACGAGGUGGACUCAAAAUCCAUUGGUGGCAACACCGUGCGGGUUCAAGUCCCGCGGCCGGCACUA
rnacentral:tRNA from 1 species